rfam:Nicotiana attenuata strain TT chromosome 10, whole genome shotgun sequence.
ACAAGCAAUACUUAACUUACAAUUACAAGUUGAAAAGUUAAGGACAAUAGGUCCUUAACUUUGACUUACAAGUUCAAAAGUUAAGGACGCUUGGUCUUGAAGUUUGAG